CGAAGAGUUUCGCGAGCCCCGGUACAGUAGGUGGCGGUAUAUGGCGAGUGGAUGCUGACAAUUCAAAGCUUUCCCAGAAGAAGGAAAAGGAGCAGCCUUCCCUUAUGUCGCCGUCAGUCCGUGUGAAGUUUUGAAUGGAUUUGAUUGUGACUGCAGACGAAAGACCGGCGGCGAUGUCACGGCGAGUGCAUGAAGAAUCGUUUACCGGCGGCGACGCGACGACGGCGCAUGUUCGAAAUUUAUAUAAAAAUACCGAACUGAUUGAACUUCAUUUCCAGCACCAAAAGGACACUAAUGCAAGGUGGACAAUAAUCAGAGGGGAGUUGUGAACCUGAGGCCAAGGCUUGAGCCCAAAUCCCCCGUAACAGAACUGCAGAGAGGAAGAAAAAAACUGUGAAGGAGAAGAUGGAAAGGAGCUAGGCUUGGAGGCACAGACUGGUGCUUUUAUUAUGUUCUUGAUGAUUGACAGGCCUAAAUGAUUAGGCUUUUCAAGAACCAUAUAAACAAACAAUUGAGAAAAGAGCGGGAUAAUCUUAACAAUCAAAGGUUUAAAUAUUUAAUCUCUUAAGACCAGAGCUUUGGUUUCAUUUUAAUUUCAGAUUUCUAUGGAAAUUAAAAAGAACCAAUUAAUAUAAUAUCCAAAUAUUUUUCUUUGAACUUGAAGCAGUGUAAUUGUCCACAUUUGUGUACAACAUGUUCCAGUUACACAGAAGUAAUUAUUAUGGUGCAAACAACAAAAACAUCUAGGUCUUAGGAAGUUAAAGGUCAGUUGAAGACAUAUGUCAACAACUUUAUUUAUUGAGAUGAUACUAAGUUAUUUAAUUAUAUUCAGACAGUACACAAUAACAGCAACAUGAACAUUAAUUAACAGUAAUAAUAUUAUAUAUUAUGAUAGUGUUUCUUUCAUGCAUGUUAGUGCGGAUGCAUACAUUGGCUACAGUAUGUGUGUCCUAAUGAUUCACAGUUGUAAGUGAACUUUGUGGCAUGUUAAAACUUAUUGGACAGCAGUAUAUGUCCCGUCUUCUUAAAGCAGUAUUUACAAUUUUAAGAGGUCAUUAAGCUUUUUUAAUUUAAAAGUUACAUCUUAAUGAAUAAAAUAGUAAAUUAAUAUUUUGUAAUUUGUAUUUGAUAGGGUUGAUGAAAUGCAUUUGUAUUUUGUAUCAAAAUACUUUAGUGUUUUGUAUUUUUAAAAUACUGUAUAAUACGUUGUACAAUACUUUGCCUACUGAGAAGUUUGCCUAGCCCUAGACCGGAAAAUGUAUUCAUGUGAAAGGUGGUGGUCAAUGUUAGAAACGUGCAGGCUGCUGCGAGCAAAUGAUUAAAUAGUUAGAAAGCUGCUAUGAAUACAGGUGCCAUCAGUUGUCUUCUUAUGAAUUACUUUUUUGUCAGUGUUGCUAAUGCAAUGUAGGCCCUUCAGUUCGUACCCGGUUGCAUAUGUCAGAUUUUUUCAUGAAUCAGAGCCAAUGUAAAGGAGAAGCAAAAGAUCAAAUAGCCCAACUCAGGUUUGCAAAGAAAUGUCAUGCUCCCCUCUAAAACUAUUUUUAGUAUUUUCAAAAUACAAAAAUGCAGUAGUUCAUUUUGAUACAUGUUGUGGCUGCUGUAUUUUGUAGUUUAUUUUGAUACACUUGAAUCUAAGGUAUUUGGUAUUCCGGUUAAAAUACAUUUUUAAUGUAUCUUUGCCCAACUCUGAUAUUUAUGUAAUUGUAAUUCACAAAACUGCAUACUGUUUAUAACUUCAUUGUAACAGGAGCUGCAAAAUUAGUUGUAUUGACAAUCUCAUGUAGUUUAAGCUAUAUACGGCUACCUGCUGCUGGAACCCACAUUUUGGAAAACAUUGUAAAGCAUAUGGCUAAAAGGAGCAGUGUAUAAUAAGUGUUGCCUGUGUAUAAUAGCUUACUCUUCUGUAGUAAUAAAAUGGUGUAAUUAUACAAUUUUUAUGUUCUCCUGGUAGCUCAUCAUACAUGGUCUGGCUGUGCAAGCAGGAAGCUGAGCAGAUUUACUUCACGAGCCAGUUAACUCUACAGCAGUUUAAUCCAUAUAGCAGCUGAUGAAUUAAGUUUUUUUGUGAGUAAGGGUUGGGGUUUGUUGUGAUGUUAUUAUUUUGCACCACAAUGAACAACAAAAUGUGUCAUUUUUCUUUAUUUCAGAAAUUCCCAAGAAAAAGUACAAAUUAUUUACAUCAAUGUCUAUAAAAAUAUCAAAAGUUAAC